ensembl:misc_RNA Metazoa_SRP Metazoan signal recognition particle RNA
GCUGGGCGUGUUGGUGCGCACCUGUAGUCCCAGCUACUUGGGAGGCUGAGGUGGGAGAAUCACUUGAACCCGGGAGGCAGAGGUUGCAGUGAGCUGAGAUGGCGCCACUGCACUCCAGCCUGGGUGACAGAGUGAGACUCCAUCUCUA